UACGAAGGGGAGCUAGCGUUGUUCGGAAUCACUGGGCGUAAAGCGCACGUAGGCGGAUGUGUCAGUCAGGGGUGAAAAUCCCGGGGCUCAACUUCGGAACUGCCUUUGAUACAGCACGUCUUGAGUCCGGAAGAGGUGGGUGGAAUUCCUAGUGUAGAGGUGAAAUUCGUAGAUAGUUAGGAAAGAACACCGGUGGCGAAGGCGGCCCACUGGUCCGGUACU
rnacentral:rRNA from 1 species